GACAGGAUGGUUAGCUACAAAGACUGGCUAGUUCAGAAUGCACCAGGGGAUGAGGUUCCACUUGGCCAUUCUUUAACAGGUUUUGCUACUGCCUUUGACUUUUUAUAUAAUCUAUUAGGUAAGCAGCGGAAACAAAAAUACCUUGAAAAAAUUUGGAUUGUUACUGAGGAAAUGUAUGAAUAUUCCAAGAUUCGCUCAUGGGGCAAACAACUUCUUCAUAAUCACCAAGCUACAAAUAUGAUCGCAUUACUCAUAGGGGCCUUGGUUACUGGAGUAGAUAAAGGAUCUAAAGCAAACAUAUGGAAACGGGUUGCUGUUGAUGAGAUGGAAAAAACUAUGUUUAUCUUGAACCAUAUUGUAGACGGCUCUUUGGAUGAAGGUGUUGCCUAUGGCA
rnacentral:lncRNA from 1 species